AUGCAAAGAACUUUGAAAAGAGAGUUAAAGAGUACCUGAAAUUGCUGAAAGGGAAGCGAAGGAAACCAGUGUUGGCUUGGUCAUACUUCCCUGGCCGCUUGCGGCUUGGGCGCUGUGUCCGGCUGGUGUUGUUCUUGGUUGGGAUCUUUGGAAGAGCGGCGAGGGAGUUGACCUCGGUUGCUAGCACUGAUCUUGACCGAGGAGGACGAAAUGGUUUUCUUUACCCCGUCUUGAAACACGGACCAAGGAGUCUAACAUAUGUGCGAGUACAGGGGUGGCAAACCCCCGUGCGCAAUGAAAGUGACAGUGGUUGGACGUUUUGCACAAUCCGCCGGCCUCAAUCCCUCGGGAGAACGGUCUGAGUGUGAGCAUACAUGUUGGGACCCGAAAGAUGGUGAACUAUGCCUGAAUAGGGUGAAGCCAGGGGAAACUCUGGUGGAGGCUCGUAGCGAUUCUGACGUGCAAAUCGAUCGUCAAAUUUGGGUAUAGGGGCGAAAGACUAAUCGAACCAUCUAGUAGCUGGUUCCCUCCGAAAUUUCCCUCAGGAUAGCUGCGAUCGGAGUUCAAUUUUAUCA
rnacentral:rRNA from 1 species